GUCAUUGUGGUGUAGUGGUUUAAAUGUCAGACUAGGACUCUGGAGAUGAGAGUUCGAAUCCCUGCUCGGCCA